GCACUGACGAGGAGUCCUACAAUAGGACGAAACGGUCGUUCAGUGC
rnacentral:hammerhead_ribozyme from 1 species